UACGUAGGGACCAAGCGUUGUUCGGAUUUACUGGGCGUAAAGGGCGCGUAGGCGGCGUGACAAGUCACUUGUGAAAUCUCUGGGCUUAACCCAGAACGGCCAAGUGAAACUGUUGUGCUAGAGUGCAGAAGGGGCAACUGGAAUUCUCGGUGUAGCGGUGAAAUGCGUAGAUAUCGAGAGGAACACCUGCGGCGAAGGCGGGUUGCUGGGCCGACACUGACGCUGAUGCGCGAAAGCCAGGGGAGCGAACGGG
rnacentral:rRNA from 1 species